rnacentral:rRNA from 1 species
UCAUGGCUCGAGGACGAACGCUGGCGGCGUGCCUAACACAUGCAAGUCGAACGGAGUUGCCCUUCGGGACAACUUAGUGGCGAACGGGUGAGUAACGCGUGAGAAACCUGCCUUCAGUGGGGACAACAGUUAGGAAACGACUGCUAAUACCGCAUAACAUAGUUCGGGGGGCACUCCCCUGAAUAUCAAAGCUUUAUGUGCUGAAAGAUGGUCUCGCGUCUGAUUAGCUAGAUGGCGGGGUAACGGCCCACCAUGGCGACGAUCAGUAGCCGGUCUGAGAGGAUGAACGGCCACAUUGGGACUGAGAUACGGCCCAGACUCCUACGGGAGGCAGCAGGUGGGGAAUAUUGGGCAAUGGGGGAAACCCUGACCCAGCAACGCCGCGUGAAGGAAGAAGGCCUUCGGGUUGUAAACUUCUUUUAGUAGGGACGAAUACGUGACGGUACCUACAGAAAAAGCAACGGCUAACUACGUG